rnacentral:rRNA from 1 species
AUCUGGCUGUCGUGAUGCCUAAAAAGCAUUGCAUAGCAAGGGCCGGGCAAGACCGGUGCCAGCCGCCGCGGUAACACCGGCGGCUCGAGUGGUAACCGUUAUUAUUGGGUCUAAAGGGUCUGUAGCCGGCCGGAUAAGUCUCUUGAGAAAUCCAGCAGCUCAACUGUUGGGCUUUCAGGAGAUACUGUUCGGCUCGAGGCCGGGAGAGGUGAGAGGUACUUCAGGGGUAGGGGUGAAAUCUUGUAAUCCUUGAAGGACCACCAGUGGCGAAGGCGUCUCACCAGAACGGACCUGACGGCAAGGGACGAAAGCUAGGGGCACGAACCGGAUUAGAUACCCGGGUAGUCCUAGCCGUAAACGAUACUCGCUAGGUGUCGGCCACGGUGCGACCGUUGUCGGUGCCGUAGGGAAGCCGUGAAGCGAGC